CUUCUUCUGUCGCGAUGACUUGACCAACGACACGUGUCUUCAAAUUUCCUCUUAUUUAAGGAAGAGAGAUUGUGUUGAAAAAUAAAGAUAGAGAUUUUUAAUUAGUACGGGCUCACGGGAAUCCAGUAAUUUUUAUCUGAAUCAUGCAUUUGUAUUAA